UUUGUCUUUAUGGCAAAUGUGAGAUGCAGUGUAUGGAAUGUCAAAUUUCUAGUAUGAGAAAUUAACGAUUUAAGUCCUUCUUAAAUGAGGCCAUUUACCCAUAGAGGGUGCCAGGCCCGUAUAACGUUAAUGAUUACUAGAUGGCAUUUCCAAAGAGUCGUGUUGCUUGAUAGUGCAGCACUAAGUGGGUGGUAAACUCCAUCUAAAACUAAAUAUAACCAUGAGACCGAUAGUAAACAAGUACCGUGAGGGAAAGUUGAAAAGAACUCUGAAUAGAGAGUUAAAUAGUACGUGAAACUGCUUAGAGGUUAAGCCCGAUGAACCUGAAUAUCCAUUAUAGAAAAUUCAUCAUUAUGAUUUUAAUAUUAAUAAUAUUAUAAUAAUGGUGUGCAUUUUUUCUAUAACGGACAUUGUAAUCUAUUAACAUAAAUAUAUUUAUCAUAAGAUCAAUGAUGCGUAAGUUUAUUCAAAUUAUUUUGCUUGCAAUUUAACAUAGAAUAAAUGCUCUUGAUUUGAUAAAGUGUUGAUAGAUUUAUUGUAUAUAGUGCUUAAAUAUUUAUAUUUUAUAAUAGCAUAUUAAUCAUUGAUUUUUAUGUUUAUUAUAUGCACUUAUAUGAUUAACAAUGCGAAAGAUUCAGGAUACCUUCGGGACCCGUCUUGAAACACGGACCAAGGAGUCUAACAUAUUUGCAAGUUAUUGGGUAUCAAAACCUAAUAGCGAAAUUAACAUAACUUUAAUGGGAUUAGUUUUUAGAUUAUUUAUAGUCUAUUAAUUCAAUCCCGGGGCGUUCUAUAUAGUUAUGUAUAAUAAUAUUUAUAUUAUUUAUACCUCUAACUAGAGCGUACCUUGAGCAUAUAUGCUGUGACCCGAAAGAUGGUGAACUAUACUUGAUCAGGUUGAAGUCAGGGGAAACCCUGAUGGA
rnacentral:rRNA from 1 species